rnacentral:tRNA from 1 species
UCCUUCUUAGCUCAGUCGAUAAAGAAUCUGCCUGUAGUGCAGGAGACCCAGGUUCAAUCCCUGGGUGGGGAA